rnacentral:rRNA from 1 species
UACGUAGGGUGCAAGCGUUGUCCGGAAUUAUUGGGCGUAAAGAGCUCGUAGGCGGUUCGUCGCGUCGGCUGUGAAAACCCGGAGCUCAACUCCGGGCCUGCAGUCGAUACGGGCGGACUUGAGUGUUGCAGGGGAGACUGGAAUUCCUGGUGUAGCGGUGAAAUGCGCAGAUAUCAGGAGGAACACCGGUGGCGAAGGCUGGUCUCUGGGCAACUACUGACGCUGAGGCACGAAAGCUAGGGGAGCAAACAGG